GACGAACGCUGGCGGCGCGCCUAACACAUGCAAGUCGAACGAGCGAGAGAGAGCUUGCUUUCUUGAGCGAGUGGCGAACGGGUGAGUAACGCGUGAGGAACCUGCCUCAAAGAGGGGGACAACAGUUGGAAACGACUGCUAAUACCGCAUAAGCCCACGGUGCCGCAUGGCACAGAGGGAAAAGGAGCGAUCCGCUUUGAGAUGGCCUCGCGUCCGAUUAGCUAGUUGGUGAGGUAACGGCCCACCAAGGCGACGAUCGGUAGCCGGACUGAGAGGUUGAACGGCCACAUUGGGACUGAGACACGGCCCAGACUCCUACGGGAGGCAGCAGUGGGGAAUAUUGCACAAUGGGGGAAACCCUGAUGCAGCGACGCCGCGUGGAGGAAGAAGGUCUUCGGAUUGUAAACUCCUGUUGUUGGGGAAGAUAAUGACGGUACCCAACAAGGAAGUGACGGCUAACUACGUG
rnacentral:rRNA from 1 species